GGGCGAGUGGUGGAAUGGUAUACACGAAAGACUUAAAAUCUUUUGUCCGCAAGGAUAUAAGGGUUCGACUCCCUUCUCGCCCACCA
rnacentral:tRNA from 6 species